GCCCCGUCUGGGAGGGGCUUGUGCGUGAGCCUUGGGUCCCCCGCCCGCUGAGGAGAUGGAUGAGGACGGGCUUCCUCUCAUGGGGUCAGGCAUAGACCUGACCAAGGUGCCAGCUAUUCAACAGAAAAGAACGGUGGCAUUUCUAAACCAGUUUGUGGUGCACACUGUACAGUUCCUCAACCGCUUUUCUACAGUUUGUGAGGAGAAACUGGCAGACCUUUCUCUUCGUAUCCAGCAAAUUGAAACAACUCUCAAUAUUUUGGAUGCAAAGUUGUCAUCUAUCCCAGGCCUAGAUGAUGUGACAUUUGAAGUAUCACCUGUAAGUGUCACUGGUGUCACAAAAGAAUCACAUUCUGAAACCGCUUCAGAGAAAUCACAACAGAACAGUUUACAAGACUCUGGACCACAGGAAAGUGAAGUAACACCAGAAAAUAUCUUAACUGUAGCCAAGGAUCCAAGAUAUGCCAGAUAUCUCAAAAUGGUUCAAGUGGGUGUUCCAGUGAUGGCAAUAAGAAACAAAAUGAUAUCAGAAGGACUAGACCCAGAUCUUCUUGAUUCUUGCUAUGUUGACACAUCCUACUCCCAAGUUUGGUGAGCAUCAUUGCAACCAUCAUUUGGAAUUCUUUAUCAGGACCCAGGCUGGAAGAACAGUCCCUACACGGGACAUACCUGGAGAACCAGCCAAACCUUAAGAUAAGUCUUAUACUUUCUGCCUACAUGAUGAAUGCCAUAUUUACUCACAUUUCAUUGGCCAAAGUACAUCACAUAGUCACACCCAGUGAGGUAAGGACAUGAAAUCUUCCCAUGGGAGGUACAGUUAAUCACCUGACAGUGGACAGGGAGGAGUGACCAGUAACUGAAAAAAAAAUUUCCUAGCAUGAUAAUAAACACUGAUUAUAAAUAAAAUAGAAAACAUGGGAAAGAAGAGUAUAAAAAUUACCUGUAAUUCUAUUAUUAACACCAUGAUGUAUUUCCUUCCAGGCUAUGUGUCUGUGUUUUUGGUUGUUUUGAUAAAUUUAGGAUUACAUAACAUAUGCAAAUAUAUACCUGCUUUAUAAGCUGCUUGUUGAUAUAGAAUUAUAUAAUGAAAAAUUUCCCUCACAAAAAAUCAUUCUUUUAAAAUAUCACCUUAAUUCCCACACAAUUUUUGUAUUAGUUUGGAUAGGCCAGGUUUUGUAACAAUAACAAAAAAUCUCAACUUUUUGCAUAGCUUCAAGUCACAAAGGUUUAUUUUUUCUUUUUUUUUUUAAUUUUCAGUUAGCCAACAUAUAGUGCAUCAUUAGUUUUUGAUGUAAUGUUCAACGAUUCAUCAGUUAUGUAUAAUACCCAGGGCUCAUCACAACCACAAAGGUUUAUUUCUUAUUCAAGCCACAUGCCCAGUGCAAUCUGACAUAGCAGUUCUGCUUAUCUUGAUCAUUCUGGGACCAAGCCAAAUAGAUCAGCUACCAUCUCAAAUGUAUCUGGCUAUUGUGUAAAAAGGAAAAGAGAAAACAGGAAAACGUGCAUUAACUGUUAAAGCUUCUGUCCCCAAAGUUUUCACAUUUUAUUAGCCAAAUCAAGUCACGUGGUGCAACAUGUAUUUUUUUUUAAAUGGACACAAUAUUUUGCAGACCCUCCAAUCAAGAGGUUAAGUCUUAUUUUUCUACCCCUUGAUUCACCUUGGUCAUAUGACUGACUUUGGCUAAUGGGACAGUAGCAAAUAUAAUGUAAGUAUAGGCUUAAAAUGUCCUUGUGCUUUGAGACUUCUCUUAAUGCUUUUAGAACCACCCAAGAUUUUCAUAGAGGAUGACAGAUCACAUGGAGAGAGGCACCAUGCUCUUCCACUGUUUCAGCUAUCCCACAUAGAUUCAACUUCAGCUAAAGACCCUGAAGAAACAAUGCCUCCUUUGAAAGAAUUGAAGAGUCCAGAAACUUCUAGUUUCAACCAGCAACUGUCUAAACUGACAACCUGCUCUGCAGCCUGAUGGAUGACAAAGCUUCAUGGACUGGGAGAGAAUUCCAUGUCAAGAAUGUCUGCUUCUGAGAGCUAGUUCUGAUUGCCCUCAUCCCCAUUAACAAAAACAGAUGUGGGCUCAUGAGCCAAGUAAACAUUCAAGGCCAAUAUAUGUUCCUUUCCACCAAUCUAGUUUGGCACUUCAAUAUGAGCAAAUAGUCUAUGAAGCAGAGUGGAACUUUUCGGUAACAUUGGUGUCAAGUGACAGGACUCACAUCUGUGUAUUAGGUGAACUGUUAUAUUAAACAUCUAUGGAAUAGA